GAUGAACGCUAGCGGGAGGCCUAAUACAUGCAAGUCGAACGGUAAAUGGUAGCAAUACUAUGAGAGUGGCGUACGGGUGCGUAACGCGUACACAACCUGCCUUGUACUGGGGGAUAGCCUCGGGAAACUGAGAUUAAUACCACAUAAUUUUACGAUGUGGCAUCACAUUGUAAUUAAAGCUCCGGCGGUACAAGAUGGGUGUGCGUCCGAUUAGGUAGUUGGUGAGGUAACGGCUCACCGAGCCGACGAUCGGUAGCUGGUCUGAGAGGACGAUCAGCCACACGGGCACUGAGACACGGGCCCGACUCCUACGGGAGGCAGCAGUAGGGAAUAUUGGACAAUGGACGCAAGUCUGAUCCAGCCAUCCCGCGUGAAGGAUUAAGGCCCUCUGGGUUGUAAACUUCUUUUCUUUGGGAAUAAAAAGCGGUAUUCAUAUCGCCUUGAAGGUACCAGGGGAAUAAGCACCGGCUAACUCCGUGCCAGCCGCCGCGGUAA
rnacentral:rRNA from 1 species